GAUGAACGCUGGCGGCGUGCCUAAUACAUGCAAGUCGAGCGAACAGACGAGGAGCUUGCUCCUCUGACGUUAGCGGCGGACGGGUGAGUAACACGUGGAUAACCUACCUAUAAGACUGGGAUAACUUCGGGAAACCGGCGCUAAUACCGGAUAAUAUAUUGAACCGCAUGGUUCAAUAGUGAAAGACGGUUUUGCUGUCACUUAUAGAUGGAUCCGCGCCGCAUUAGCUAGUUGGUAAGGUAACGGCUUACCAAGGCAACGAUGCGUAGCCGACCUGAGAGGAUGAUCGGCCACACUGGAACUGAGACACGGUCCAGACUCCUACGGGAGGCAGCAGUAGGGAAUCUUCCGCAAUGGGCGAAAGCCUGACGGAGCAACGCCGCGUGAGUGAUGAAGGUCUUCGGAUCGUAAAACUCUGUUAUUAGGGAAGAACAAAUGUGUAAGUAACUAUGCACGUCUUGACGGUACCUAAUCAGAAAGCCACGGCUAACUACGUG
rnacentral:rRNA from 1 species